rnacentral:rRNA from 1 species
GAUGAACGCUGGCGGCGUGCCUAAUACAUGCAAGUAGAACGCUGAAGGAGGAGCUUGCUCUUCUGGAUGAGUUGCGAACGGGUGAGUAACGCGUAGGUAACCUGCCUGGUAGCGGGGGAUAACUAUUGGAAACGAUAGCUAAUACCGCAUGACAACAGUUAUUGCAUGAUAACUGUUUAAAAGGGGCAACUGCUCCACUACCAGAUGGACCUGCGUUGUAUUAGCUAGUUGGUGAGGUAACGGCUCACCAAGGCGACGAUACAUAGCCGACCUGAGAGGGUGAUCGGCCACACUGGGACGGAGACACGGCCCAGACUCCUACGGGAGGCAGCAGUAGGGAAUCUUCGGCAAUGGACGGAAGUCUGACCGAGCAACGCCGCGGGAGUGAAGAAGGUUGUCGGAUCGUAAAGCUCUGUUGUAAGAGAAGAACGAGUGUGAGAGUGGAAAGUUCACACUGUGACGGUAUCUUACCAGAAAGGGACGGCUAACUACGUG